rnacentral:lncRNA from 10 species
CAAAAAGAAAAACCAGAUGGGGUCUCUCUAUGUUACCCAGGCUAGUCUUGAACUUCUGGCAUCAAGUGAUCCUCCUACCUGGGCACUCCCAAAAUGCUAGGAUUACAGGUGUGAUCCUUAUAUCCACACCUAGAUAUAAGCUUGAUUAAUAGAAGAAUGGUGAGGAGUUGACAGGAGGUAGUUUUUCCCUAAUGUCAGUCCUAGACAAGCCUUUAGGAGAUUUGGUGUCUCUUGCAGGAUGAUAAGUUUUAUCUUUUUAAAGUUUUUUCCCUUAAGUUACGAACCAUUCUGAAGAGUGACAAAUGUUAAAGGGGGUAUAAAACGGCAGCACUUCCACAAAAGAAAUAAGGUGCUUUAAGCCAGGCACAGUGGCUCACACCUAUAAUCUCAGCACUUUGGGAGGCCGAGGCGGGUGGAUCACGAGGUCAGGAGAUCAAGACCAUCCUGGCUAACAUGGUGAAACCCCUUCUCUACUAAAAAUACAAAAAAUUAGCUGGGUGUGGUGGCGGGCGCCUGUAGUCCCAGCUACUUGGGAGGCUGAGGCAGGAGAAUCGCUUGAACUCAGGAGGUAGAGGUUGCAGUGAGCUGAGAUCACGCCACUGCAC